rnacentral:rRNA from 1 species
CCUACGGGAGGCAGCAGUGGGGAAUAUUGGACAAUGGGCGAAAGCCUGAUCCAGCAAUGCCGCGUGAGUGAUGAAGGCCUUAGGGUUGUAAAGCUCUUUUACCAGGGAUGAUAAUGACAGUACCUGGAGAAUAAGCUCCGGCUAACUCCGUGCCAGCAGCCGCGGUAAUACGGAGGGAGCUAGCGUUGUUCGGAAUUACUGGGCGUAAAGCGUGCGUAGGCGGUGAUUCAAGUCAGAGGUGAAAGCCUGGAGCUCAACUCCAGAACGGCCUUUGAAACUAGAUCGCUAGAAUUAUGGAGAGGUAAGUGGAAUUCCGAGUGUAGAGGUGAAAUUCGUAGAUAUUCGGAAGAACACCAGUGGCGAAGGCGACUUACUGGACAUAUAUUGACGCUGAGGUACGAAAGCGUGGGGAGCAAACAGGAUUAGAUACCCUGGUAGUCCACGCCGUAAACGAUGAUAACUAGCUGUUCGGGCUCUCAGAGCUUGAGUUGGCGCAGCUACGACAUUAAGUUAGUACCGUCCGUCGGGAGGUACGGUCGCGAAGAAGUUAAACUAACGAAGAAGUAGUACGCGUGAGACGUCGCGACGGACGACGACGAGGGAGAGG